UGGGGAAUAUUGCACAAUGGGCGCAAGCCUGAUGCAGCGACGCCGCGUGCGGGAUGGAGGCCUUCGGGUUGUAACCGCUUUUGUUCAAGGGCAAGGCACGGUCUUUGGCCGUGUUGAGUGGAUUGUUCGAAUAAGCACCGGCUAACUACGUGCC
rnacentral:rRNA from 1 species